UUCAUUUUUUAAUAAAUACUUUCACUCAUUUGUUAUUUUGUAGGUGUUUGUAUUACCUCUGCUUGAUACUUGUGCUGCCUCUGGAUGGGCAGCAAAACAUCCGAUGUGAACUUGGGAAGAAACUAAAAGGUGCUCGGGAGUAAAAGAAGACUGAAGAAUAUCUUCAAAGUACAUGGUGACCAGAGAAAUCCUCAGAACAGGGCUAAAUUCAGAUUUAAAUCAACUUCCCUGGGACCUUGUCCAGCUGAGGUUUCAAGACGUGCAGGAAUAAUGAAGAUUUCAUGGCCUCUCUGAUUCUGGACUUUGUGCAUGCUUGUGCAACUAGAAGAGCUGGAGCAAAAGAAUAUACCUGGUGUUCAGUGUUCAUUAAUUCCUCCAUGUGACCUGCAUGUGGGAACCAUGAAACUUACUUUUUAAAACUGAGAAA